UGAUAAGAAAUCUCCAGAAUUGCUGUACCACAUUGAUGAUUCCCUGUAACCUUUUAUAUCUGAUGACUGCAGCUACUCUAC